ACAACUAGCAUACCUACCUCUGAUACCCUGGCCUCCAAUGCCUCACGUAAAAAAACCCAGGGGUCCUUGGAGAAUGGAUGGUUCUGAAGCUUCACAAGAUGUUGGAGAAUUUGACAUUGUUGACCUCUCCAUUCUUCUUGAAGUUCUAAUGCUGGGCUUGGAGUCCUCACACUGUCCUGGCUUUUCUCCAAUCACCCUGGGCCUUCCUUUUCCGUUAUUACUGCUGACUCCUCUUCAUCUGAUCCUCCCGUCACCGUGCCCCACCUCACCCCUGUGUUAGAUGAUGGUUUCUUCGUCUGGAGAGCUUACAUUCAGCAUAAUCUGGAAUGAAUUAGCCAAUUUGAUGGCUGAGAAGCUUUUCGUCCAAGCCUUUGUGAAUAUCUUCUGUCUCAGCAAGACCCAAGGACAUCAAGUCCCUUGUAAAAUUCCAUGGUCUAGAAUGAGGGAUUUAGUGAGGAGGAAGAGAAGGCCAAGGGAAACUAGAGGCACAUUAUAAACAUCUGUUAUUACAAA